AUCACUUCUUGGCCUUUUGGCUAAGAUCAAGAGUAGUAUCUAUUUGCUUUUUGUUCCCCUCACUCUUUUUAAGUUUUAUCCCCU
ensembl:snRNA U2 U2 spliceosomal RNA